UAGAACGGGAUUUAAUUUAGAGAAAUCAGUAUUUUUGGACACCUCACGGGCAAAAAAACGCUAGUGAAAAGGCACGCGUCAACCAGGUGCCGGUCGAGGUGGAGGAGCGUUCAAGAGCUGUGCGGUCAUAGAGGGGGUCAUUCUGGAGCGUCAGCCCCUUUUCGGUCUUUUGGAGUCUUUUACAAAUUCCUUUU